AUACUUUAUUGCACAAAUAUGAGAUAUAAGUGUACAAAAGGUGGACUUAAUGCUAAAAGCAUUUUCUACCAGCCAACCUACAGGAGGUACAUGAUAUAUCUCAUAUGAAGUUAAUACUUUUCAGAAAGCUGAUUCUCAAAUAUGCGUCGAAAAACAAAAACCAGUUGGGCUGAAUCUUCAAAGAACCAAAAUUAAGAAAACACGAAAUAAUAUUUUUUAGACCAAAGAGUUACUGUAACGCCCCCCACAUCGCAUAGCCGCCAAAAGUGCAUUCCUGCAGCGUGCAUCGCCUCAACCUGAAUGAUGAAGAAUCUUCUAAAACCACGAGCAAUGUAAACUCAUGAAAUAUCACACCUACAACAAGUUAGAAAAGCAUAAUGAAGCACAAUCCAGAAAAAAGUUAAAAUGUCCUAAAUAAAUACUAUUUAAUGAUCAAAAAA